CCCGCUUCCCAAAUCGGCCCCAGCCCCUGCCUGGGUCCCCAUCCAGGACCCCUUUCCAGUCCCUGCCCCUGGCCUGGCCCCCAUCCCGGCCUCGGCCCUCGUUCCACUCCCUGUCACAAAUCCCAGCCCAGGCCCUGUCCCAACCCCAUUCCCAGUGUUUGCUUAAGGCCCUGGCUCAACCCCGUCCCUUGCUGCAGUCCCCAUCACAGCCCCUUCUUCCAUCCCACUCCCUGCCCUUGUUCAAGCCCCAGUGUCCAGCCCAGCCCAACUCAUUAUCUCAGCCUUUGCCCUCAUCUCUGUGUUUACCCAAGUCUCUCCCUCUAGUCCCCCCAUCUCUCAUACUCUGCCCCUCUCCCAGCCUAUACUCAAGUCUGGGUUUCAGCUGCCGCCAGCCCUAUUGCUGCUGUUGCUGUUCUCUGUCCUUGGCCCAGGGGCUGGAGGCCUUUUCCUGACUGAUUACUCCACCUGCUCACCCCGCAAGCUGAGUCCUUUCCGCUCCUUUGCCAGCACCGAGCUCUUCCACUUCCAUGUUCCUGAGGACACAUUCCUGGCUGUUUGGAACCUCAUCAUCUUCAAGGAGCAAGGGGGAACCUUUGGGGACCACUGCCCAGACCAAAGUGUGACUGUGUAUUUCCGGUCCGGGGCACCCCCUGUCAUCAAUCCCCUGCAUACACACUUCCCAGGGGACACAGCUGUGCCUGGGGUUUUCUCACUGACCCUCAGCUGGACACUGCCCAACCGCACCUCAGGCAUCUUUAACGUCAGCAGCCCCUUACCUGGGGACUGGUUCUUGGCUGCCCACCUUCCCCAGGCCCACGGCCACAUCUCUGUCAAGGGUCUCCAGGAUGAGUGUCAGUACCUCCUUCAGCCGCAGCUGAUUGUCCGGCGUUUGCUGGAUGUCGCUGUGCUGGUUCCUGGCCGGCCCUCAGAGCAAACCCUCUCCCCACACAAUCGCUCAGCCCU
rnacentral:sRNA from 1 species